rnacentral:tRNA from 1 species
UCCCUGGUGGUUCAGUGGUUAGGACGCUGCGUUUACACUGCAGGGGACAUGGGUUCCAGCCUUGGCUAGGGAA